GCUGGGCAUGGUGGCAGGUGCCUGUAAUCCCAGCUACUUGGGAGGCUGAGGCAGGAGAAUCGCUUGAACCCAGGAGGCAUAGGUUGCAGUGAGCCGAGAUCACACCACUGCAGUCCAGCCUGGGAGACAGAGCGAGACUCUGUCUCAA
ensembl:misc_RNA Metazoa_SRP Metazoan signal recognition particle RNA